GUUCCAUGGUCUAGUUGGUUACGUUCGCUUCACAAGCGAGAGGUCUCGAGCUCGAUCCUCGAUGAAAGCA
rnacentral:tRNA from 1 species